AAAAAAAUCUCCAGCCGCCCUUAGCCUGUCUUCCUCGCCGGCUGAUUUUUGCCCUCGCGCGAUCCAAUCCUCUCAGCCGCCGCUCAACUUCGAGAAUAAAAAUCCUCGCGCGCGCCCAGGAUCUUCUUCCUCCCUGCUUCCAGCGCCGAGGCUCCCUCCCCCAGCUCUCUCACGGUCGCCCCUGCUCCUCCGGUCCUCCCCUAUGGCGCCCUGCUUGCUCCCUGUGCCGCAGUCCCUCCUCUCUCCUCCCUCCAUUUCUCCUUCACGCGCCCAGGCUCGCCGUGGAGUUUUUCGCGCGCAGCUCCCUCAGCUCCGUACUCAGCGCUCGUUUCUGCUCGGAUUCCUGCUCUCAUGGACGCGUCCAGCGGUGCUCCUCUGAUGCGCGCGCUCCAGUCGUCUCCCCGAGCUCGGCUCUGCCGCUCCUAUGGUGUCCGGCCAGCUCUCCUGCUCUUCUCGGUUGCCUGCGUGUCCAUGGCGCGUCUUCUCCCCUGCGCACAGCCACACCUGGUUCUCUGCUCGCCACGUGCGCAGUUCCCUGCGUGCCUAGUGUCGCACGCAUGCUCCCAGGUCCGCAGCACCAGCUGCCUGUUCUGCUUGCUCGUGUCUGCGCGCCGCUGUUGCCCAGCUCGGAUCCCCCUCGCUGCGCGCUGAGCUCUUCGUUGUUGUCCGUGCGCGCGCCGCUCGUCGACCUCUCUGCGCACGUAUAGCUCGCUCUUUUCUUAUUUGCGGCGCGCACGAAUUUUAUCUGCUCGCCGCAGCGUGUCGAGUUCCUGCACCAUCAUCGCUUCUGUCGCAAGCUCGUUGGCCACAGUUAUCUUGAUCGCGUCAGCACGCGACUGUGGUUGUUGGGGACCUUCGGCUUCCGAAGGUCCUCAAAAACAUGAUUUAACAAUGUUUCUGGAGUAUAAUAUGUGAACAGGUAUCUUCGGACUUGUAUCAGAAAGGGAGAAGCUCAAAAGAUACGAAGGUUGACACAGUGCCGAAGCUGUGAAGCAGGAAAGCUUCGGCAUGUUCGCAGAAAAGGGAACCGACUUAAAGAUGAAAAGACCAUUUAGACCUCGAUAGAUUGCUAUGGAAUUAUCACCAAAUGUAAAGGGCAUAUAUGUAAUUUUGUAUGGGUUGUACCCCGUGCCUAUAAAUAGGUGCCGUACUGUUCACGCUGACUUGGCAUUUGCUUUUGCGUCACACUUGUAUUUUCAUCUCCUUCCAAGCCGAAGGUACAUUUAUAAUUCGAUAUUGUUUCUAUUUCUCUAUGAUGAUAUAAAAAAGUUAAAUGAAUAAUGUUAUAUGAUUAUUCAUGCUAUCUUUUAUGUUUCAUAUGCUUCGUCUUUCAUUAAUGUAUACUGUGGUGAUGAAAGUUCGUCCUUCAUGACCUUCGUCCGAAGAUCGUUAUAUCCUAAGGGAAAUAAUGCUUCAAAGGACGAAGGACUUUAUCGUUUAACAUUCUCUGUGUUGCCUUGUUCUUAACUCAUAGCAUUUGAGAACAAGUCCCCAACAUUGGCGCCCACCUCCGGUGAACUCACUUCCAUUUCUUGAGCUUUUCAACAUCUUCAGCAAGCAUCACCUUCGUCAUACCGCCGAAGAAGGCUUCAGCACCAGGGGCUGGCACGCUGCAGCCGUUGGACCCCAAUCAAGACGUCCUUUCUCUUAGAGAGGCACGAAGCCAGAAGAGGAAGGCUACUAGUCCAACACCUCCAGAGGAUGAUCUAGAUCAGGAGAUUCAAAAUCUGGAAAUCCUUCAGCAGCAGGUUCAACGCAAGAAGGAAAAGAUGGCCAGGGUAGCUGAAUUGUAGAGGCAGAUAGACGAAGCCUCUGAAGAAGUUCGUCACCUUGCUCAGGACGAGCAACAUCGAAGGCCUCACCAUCAAGACCUUCAUCAGGAGGGUUUUCCCAACGAAGAUGAUUGGUAUGACAAUUUCCAUCAUGGGAAUUUUGUUUUUGAUGAUGCUUCUCCUCUGUCCGCUGAGCUGCAGGCUACACCUUGGCUUCCGUCCUACAAGCCGCCUCAGCUCCCUGUAUUUGAUGGCCACUCAGACCCGAAGCAGUUUUUGAUGAGCUACGAAGCAACAGUGUCUUCGUAUGGUGGCAAUGCUUCAGUCAUGGCCAAAUCUUUCGUUAUGGCUGUCAGAAGUGUUGCUCAAACCUGGUAUUCCUCCCUUCGACCAGGAACGAUCACUUCAUGGCAGAAACUGAAGGAUUUGUUGUUAACCAGCUUUCAAGGAUUUCAGACGAAGCCGGUCACUGCUCAGGCUCUGUUCCAGUGCACUCAGGAUCACGAAGAAUACCUUCAGGCAUAUGUCCGAAGGUUCUUGCGUCUGAGGGCACAGGCACCAACGGUGCCCAAUGAAAUUGUCAUCGAGGCCAUGAUCAAGGGGCUUCGGCCAGGUCCGUCAGCUCAGUACUUCGCCAGGAAGCCUCCUCAAACUUUGGAGAAGCUUCUCCAGAAAAUGGAUGAAUACAUUCGGGCUGACAAUGAUUUUCGCCAAAGAAGGGAGGAGGCUUUCAGGUUUUCUGAAAUGACCAGGGGAUUCGGAGGAAGGUUUUACCCGAGGCAUGUGAGAUCAAUUCACAAUUCUACACAAAAUGAUGACAGAGGAAGCCAACAGCAAAGGCCACAAUGCUCCUCACAGGCUUCUGGUCAACAGCAAAGCUCCUUCCGGCCACCAGCUCCAAGAGGCAGAGGCGCCAGGGGCUUCGGAGGAAGAUUUGGCGAUCAACCGAGAAGAAUCUUUUGCUUAUUCUGCGGAGAGAACAAAGGCCAUACUACCAGGAUGUGCCAUGUUACUAUACAGAAGCAAAAGGAAAUAGCUGAAGCAGCAGCACAACAAGCCCAGCCGAAGCAAGUCAUGCAUACAGCUUCGUAUCAUUCGCCCUACAUCCCAGAAUAUGUGGGCAACCAUCCUGCAGUCUCUGCUGCUUCGGCGAGUCAGCCUCAAGCUUCCUGGCAACAGCCUCCGCCUCCACCUCCGUUGCAACAGGGCCAGCAGCCAGAAGGGAGCCAAUAUGCUCCACAUCAAAGGGACUUCAGAGAACAGUCCGAAGCUCACACGGUCAACAGCACCGUGCCAGAAUCAAAGCACAUCUAUUGACAAAUAUCCUACCUUAAUAGCAAUCUUUUUCAUUCAGUUUUAUUUUCUGUAAUAAAGGACAUUGUUUAGGUUUCAUGUAAUUAGUUUCGUUGAUUCCUACAAGAAAAAUAUGUUUUCUUCACAGGUUUGUGAUAAUAAAAAGGACCUUCGGACUAUCGAAAAUUCUUCGAAGCAAUAAAAAGUCGUUCUAAGGAACGCAGAGUAAGUCUGACGAAGUCACAAAAAGUCGUUCCGAAGGGAGCGCAGUGUAAGUUUUCUGCUCCAAAGUCGUUCCAAAAGGAAUGCAGAGCUUAUACCGCCUAAGUAAAAGGCGAAGAAGCUCCAAAGACGUUCCUAAGGGAAUGCAGAGCUUAUACCGCCUAAGUAAAAGGCGAAGAAGCUCCAAAGACGUUCCUAAGGGAAUGCAGAGCUUAUACCGCCUAAGUAAAAGGCGAAGAAGCUCCAAAGACGUUCCUAAGGGAAUGCAGAGCUUACAGCGAAGAAUCAGCGCUGAUACAAAAAUAUUGUGUGGGGAUAUGUGUGUAUCUUUCGGAACAAAUGUCAUCUACGUAACAUAACAUCAUCACAUCAUUUUGCAUAGCAUGAGCAUCAUACAUCAUGUUGCAUAUGGCACAAGAAGGGGACACAAUAUUGAUCUUCGGAAGUAUGAUUUGAAAGAGUGAAAAUCGUGUUGUCACAAGGAGACACAAUCUUCAUCUUCGGAGUAUAGCUUCGGAGAAUGUUUUCACGAAGCUUGGAUAUUCUUCAUCUGAGCACUAUGGACAUUGUUCUGAUACAUAAAAAUUUUUCUUCACGAAGCAUGAAAAGAAGGGAAGGUGUUUUUUCGCCAAAGACUCAAAAAAGGUAUGUAUGAAAAGUUUCAUGCAUCGUAAAGAAUUGAACCAUAAAGAAAAAUAAAACAAAUAUGUUACAUACAGGAUUACAAGAUAUUACGCAUGUUACAUUUAAAAUGUUUUUACAAUAGCAUCUAGUCUUCCCUAAGUACCACUUCUGCAGCUUCGUUCAACAGUCGAUCGACAACUUCAUCCAUAAUAACUUCAGCCAUCUUUUUAAUCUCAUCGUCACCCUUAGGCCGUGCACCCGGAGAUACUUCAGUAGGAUCUGAGGAAGGACAGGACACGGCUACUUUGUUGUUACAAGUUGCAAACAAAUCUUAAAGCCUAAGAUUACAACACGAUAAAAACUAUUAUUUAAUACCUAAUUGACCUUCGGCCUCUGCGCUCUUUUCAGCAGCCUCAGCUACUUCUCUAGCAUCAUGAAUGCCCUUUUCACUUCUUCGAAUAAUUUCUCCGGCCAUUUCCCGGCCACCAUUAUCCCAGAUAUCGGUAAAAAACUUUCCACCAAUUAUGCUAGCUUCGGCCGAGGGAUCUCUUGUAUCUUCAAAGGACAAGGCACCUUCGGACUGUGCUAAAAUUUUUACAUGUUCGCAGCCCUUCUUCUCUAAGAUGGUGGCAAUCCCUCUGGCGCCAGAGAAGGCACAUAUAUCUCCUCGGCUAUUUAAAAUUUCUUCGAAGGCUUCAGCUUCGUGGUCAAUCCAUUCAAUGACACCUUCGGGAUUGCCUCUCGAAAAGUUUUCCUCACUUGAGAAUGCGCCAACCUUGGCGAAGCUAGCCUUUAAUUUCUUAACACAAUCUAUAGAUUUGUUGUAGCAUCUCUUUUUGGAUGAACGAAGCUCUUCAACAGUCACUUCUAGGUGAUCUGCCCAUUGAUCGCUGAGUUCACGCUUUGUUUCUUCCAGUAUGCGUUCUUCCUUGGCUCUGGCCAGUUGUUUCCGAAGGUCUUCAAUUUCGCGUUUCUGAGCUUCAGCCUGACUUUUAAAAGCAGCUUCGUCUUCCUUUAUUUUAUUUAUCAAUGAGUAUAAUAUUUUAUCCUUUUCGAGACCUUCGUUCCUCAGUUCAAUUACUUCGGAACGAAGGUUGCUCAGGGCUAUAGUACACCCUUCGUCUUCGGCAUCUUUCUGUGCCCUGAGGGCAUUGCUAAGUAUCAAGCCCUGCAAAAAGACAUAUGUGUGCGUCAAUAGGUUUUGUCAAAAUAUAUACAAAAAUUUUAUUUGUCGCACCUUUAAACUAUUGUAAGCCAGGCUGUCGGCCAGAUCGUUCUUCGACAGCACCGAAAGUCCGUCUUCUAAAGUUGGGAAUCCGAAGCUUCUGCUCAUCUCCCGACAGACAGAAAUUUCCUUGCUGUCGGGGAGACAAUACAAGAAAUCUUCUUCUCCAUUGCCAUUAAAUAUCAACGCCCCCUUCGGAUACUUCAGUUUUUGGGCAUAGUGCUGGGCCUCUUGUUCUUCUUUUUCUGAUAAUUUUUUCCCCGAAGCAUGACGAAAAACAUAAUCACGAAUUUUGGGGGAUGCUUCGGGGGCAACAACACUGGUUUUUUCAACAAAAGUUGGAUUUGUUAUUUUUUCUUCAUCACUUUCCAAGGGUUUCACCUUUGCGGGCUCUGAGGGCCCAGUUUCGGUUUCAGCCCCUUGCUCUGGAACUUUAGAACCAGAAGUUUCAACUGUUGUUUCAGGAGUAACAACAGCCUUCUUCGGAGGUGUGCUUGAAGUCUUAAUUGUUUCUAGUACAUCUAGCACAUUCGCCAUUCUUCUUCUUUUUGGAGUCACUGCUGGCGCUUUUUGAUUUUUUGUUGUCUCAACAUUUGCUGCAGGACUCACAAUUUCUGGUACUUUUUCUUCGGUUGGUUUUUCCACUUCUGCAAUUUUUUCUGUGAAUAGCGCUUCGGCCAUUUCUUUGGUUUCUGGCAGCGAAACCUUCGAUUCUUCUAGUUCUAUCUUUUUCGCCGUUUCGGUCAUCCCUGCAGCUGCAGGUGGCGUGACUGGUCUGGUUGGCUUUUCAGCCUCGGUAACCAAAGAAGAUUUUUCGGUAAACUCCGGCACCGAAGCUGGUUCGAUAUAACGCGGCCGGUGAGUGAGGACUUUUAUUUUCUUUCUUUCAGGCUCUGGCUCGCUAGGAGCAGUUGCAGCUUCUUCUUUUGCAGAGGUUAUGUUCUUUCUUUUCUGCCUUCGGACGGGGUAGCAAUAGUCAGGGUAAACAAACCCAAUUGCAUCAAAUACCCGAUUCAGCCUCUUCUUUUUCGGCCUCCGAAGGCUGCUGACAUCGCGGUAUCUUCGGCCUUCGAAUAAGCACCAAGCAAUUCGUCACUUAAAUUUUCAAUACUCUUUAGCCAGUCGUCAUCUGGCUCAGUAAAUUUAUCUCCAAACUUGAAGGUGUACUUCAGUCUCACAAGCCCACCUUCGUCGGUCUCUUUUGUGGUUUCUUGAGGCAUUUCCCAUUUCUCCGCAAGCGGCCACACCCGGAAGGCAAUAUGUUCUUGUACUAAAUCUCUUGUUCCAAUAAAAGAGCAGAUGACGCCGAAGGCCCUCUGGCAUUCUUCGGCAGCUUCGUUCAUUUCCACCUUCGGCCUCCGAAGGCCGAAGCUUUGCCAAAUAGGACGCAUAAUUAUACCUUUGAUGUCUUCUCGUGCUGAUAGGUCAUUCUUCACAUAAAACCAUUCUGUCAUCCAAUCCCCGGGCCAUCUCUUCCGAAAGGUUGGUACGGGGCAGCUUGCCCCGGACCGAGAGACGAAACUGUAGCAGCCAAAGUUAUUGUGGUACUGUUCUUUGCCCCAAGGCUUUGUUUCAUAUAAUAAUUCAUGUAUAUUACAGAAGCUUCUUGCGUCAGGCUUCAGACCUUGGCUUCUCGUGGCCCACACGAAGAUAUUUAGCCUUAUAAUUGCCUCUGGAGUAAGUUGAUGAAGAUAGACUUCGAAGAUUUUCAACACCUCCACGACGAAGUUGCUCAAGAGGAAUCGCAAUCCGGCUUUCAAAAAGCUUCGGUACACCACAACUUCAUUUUCUUCAGGGUGUGGACAAGUCUUUUCCCCUUCGUCCGCCCUCACAAUGGACAGAUCCCGGAAAUACCUUCCCCUCAUAUUGGCAAGAUGGUUUUCUUUGAUAGCUGAUUUGCCGAAAACCGCAUGACUUGGUCGCCAGGGGCGAUCUUCGGAGUCUUCACCGCCACUAUCUACAUCAAAACUGUCACUGUCACCAGUAUCUUCAGACAAGCCUUCCAGAAUUUCCUUGGUGAUUUUUUCCGUGUUUGUCUUCGACAUCGCUAUAAGAAACCCCAGGUUUUUCUCCUCAUCAAGAGACAGUUUUGCCUCAGUAACAGCUUCCUUGUCUCCAGACAUCUUCGGAAACACUAAAAAACUAUUUUCAAUGCCGAAGCUUUAAAACCAAAGACUCAGGGAAUCUUAGCGCGCAAAAGCUAAAAAUCGAGCGAGCGAGAGAAAGUGGCAAGAAAGCGUACCAAAUGAGCUCGCGGUAUGCUCUUAUUUAUACGCUUGAUGCAGUAAAAAUUGAAAGGUCCCGCCUGUCAGUGAAUGUUGCUAUUCUAGCAAAGGGAAGGUGUUUUUUCGGACCUUCGGCUUAAAGCCUUCGUCCAUGUCGCAAUCUAAAUUUAUUAUUAUUUUAACAAAUUAAUAUUGCGAGGGGCUACUGUUGGGGACCUUCGGCUUCCGAAGGUCCUCAAAAACAUGAUUUAACAAUGUUUCUGGAGUAUAAUAUGUGAACAGGUAUCUUCGGACUUGUAUCAGAAAGGGAGAAGCUCAAAAGAUACGAAGGUUGACACAGUGCCGAAGCUGUGAAGCAGGAAAGCUUCGGCAUGUUCGCAGAAAAGGGAACCGACUUAAAGAUGAAAAGGCCAUUUAGACCUCGAUAGAUUGCUAUGGAAUUAUCACCAAAUGUAAAGGGCAUAUAUGUAAUUUUGUAUGGGUUGUACCCCGUGCCUAUAAAUAGGUGAACAGUACCCCCGUACUGUUCACGCUGACUUGGCAUUUGCUUUUGCGUCACACUUGUAUUUUCAUCUCCUUCCAAGCCGAAGGUACAUUUAUAAUUCGAUAUUGUUUCUAUUUCUCUAUGAUGAUAUAAAAAAGUUAAAUGAAUAAUGUUAUAUGAUUA
rnacentral:lncRNA from 1 species